UCCUUUAUUUGUCCAGCACGAAAGGGCCAAAAAGACAGGUUUAUCCUCUCACCCAACGGUCCUUUCUGAGACAGUUGAUCAGAAACAUGGAGAACACAGAGCCUUGCUCGGGAAGAAAGGUUCAGAGAACAAAUCGUCUGUAAACUAUUGGGCUGGACUUGCCUCUUCCAAAGCUAAAAAUGGUGAAGAAAGAUGAUCUUUUCUGGACCUUGGGCUCGUGCGUGUGUACAGAGACCCAGCCACAGAUAGGAGCUGCUCAUUUCAUCAAAGUAAUCUGCUGUUUUCUGUGCUCUGGAGGUGGUGACUUCAGUGUCCACGAUGGGACAUCCCGGUAUGGAAGCCAACAGCUGUUUCAUUUCUGGGUCGAAGGCUCCAGUUCUCCAAUUUCGCUAAAAUGUGUUUUGUGUACGCUUUAAAAGGCCUUUCUCCUAAAAAAUGCAUUUGCUGCGGAAAAUAGAAUGUUAUAGAUCGUCCCCCCAAGCCUUUGUGCCACGGAGAAAGAAUCAAGAAGCUGCCUUCUUCCCACUUGACAGACAGAUAAACUGGCAGUAAUGUGAUCUUGGACAGGUGACUCGACCUCACUGGUAGAAAGUUUUCUUAUCUGUGAAAUAGGGGUAGAGCAGGUGACCCCAAAGAGUCUAAAAAUCCUUUGAGACUAUGCAGUGCCCUCCCAAUAUUUUAUAGCUUCUCUUCCUCUCAUCUCUCUCAUCUAGUUCUUGAAUCCUUCCCCAUCUCUCCAGCUGUACUUGCCCUUGAGGUUCAGGACCCAGUUAUUUCUUGCCUGGAAAAUUUCAAAACUGGGUUCCCCUACAAGCUGUGUAUAUAGCACAAGUGCCUGAGGGAUCUUUGUAGACACAGGUCUGAAAACAUCCACCCCUACAUGCCAAUUCUACAGCCCAAGGCCACCCACAGAAUAAUACGGGCAACUUCUCAGCUUGGCCUGAGGCUCUUCACAUGAGGACCAAGCCCCUCCCUUCAGGCCAGCCUCCCCCCAGCUCCCUGCCAAGUUCCCCCGCAUCCCCAGGCUUACAUAUUCUAGCCACACUACCAUCUCCUAACCAAGCCUCGAACUUCCCUCUUCUAAAAUCAUUCACCCAUUGAUUCCCCUUACUGUUUUUUAGUUCCCACAAGACCACAUGACUUUUUUCACUGUUUUUUUUUCUCCCCCACCUAGCACUUUCCUUAGCAUGGAGUAAGAGCUUAGUGAGUACGAACUGAAGGAAGGAAUCUUUUCUUCUUUGCGACCCAUUUCAAAGGUUUUCUGGUUUGUUUGUUUUUUUACCUAUGUGAAUACCUGAAUUAGGAACUCCCUCGGAGCCCCCAAUGUGUGCCCCAAGUUUGUUACACUUGUACCCCCUUAUCCGCAGUUUCUCUCAGGGUCCGAGUUACUCGGAGUGACCCACGGUCACACAGCCCCCUGGAAGCUGAUGAUCCUUCCAUCAGAUCACCAACAGUAGCCUAACGCUCUGUCACAAUGGCCGUGUUACUCCCUUCCUCUCCUGAGGCAGUCAUCUUAGCAUCUCGUGUCGUCUCCAGAAGAAGGGGGAGUACAGCACAGUAGGACACUUUGGGGAGCACCGCAUUCCCAUAACUUAUUACAGUAUGUUGUUACAGUUGUCUUGUUUUAUUAUGAGUGUUUGCUGUUACUGUCUUACUGAGACCACUUUGCAACAUCAACUUUCUCGCAGGUUCUGUGUGGACAGGAGAGAGUGCCGUGUAUGUAGGUUUCAUUAGUCUCUGGUUUCAGGGAUCUGCUGGGGGGGGGGUGGUAUCGGGUUGCAGCCCCUGCCACUAAGUGGGGGAACGCUGUAUGUCAGUUCUCUUUGAAUCUUCUUGCUUUAUACUUGACUUCGCACAUGGGUACCAAAUAAAUGCUUGCGUGGUAAAGGGACAGAUAAAUGAUGGACAUAUGAUUA